rnacentral:rRNA from 1 species
UACGGAGGGUGCAAGCGUUAAUCGGAAUUACUGGGCGUAAAGCGUGCGUAGGUGGUUCGUUAAGUCCGUUGUGAAAGCCCCGAGCUCAACUUGGGAAUUGCAGUGGAUACUGGCGGGCUGGAGUGCGGUAGAGGAAGGUGGAAUUCCCGGUGUAGCGGUGAAAUGCGCAGAUAUCAGGAGGAACACCAGUGGCGAAGGCGGUGCUCUGGGCUGGAACUGACACUGAGGAGCGAAAGCGUGGGUAGCAAACAGG